rnacentral:lncRNA from 1 species
GUUUAACAUUUACUCCCUCCUGGUUGGAGUCGCAGCUGGAACUUCGUUUAUGGCAAUCUUAUGGGUCACAACACUGCUGUACAAAUGUAUCUUCAGGACUCAUAGUGGAGAUAAAGCUGGACUGAUUCAGACUGAUGGGGCUGAUUCGGUGGACAGAAGGGGAGAGCCUUUUUAUGCUAAUAAAGUUAUGAUGUCAUCAGCUGAAGCCCCCACACUAAAUCACCCAGAACCCCUACAUUAUUCAACAAUUAACUUUACAAACACCAAUCCGGAGUCAAACAACAUCAGAGGCAUCUCAUCGCUUACUACUGAUUAUGCUGUGGUCCAAUACUGUGGUCAAAACAUAGAAGAUAGCAAGGCAAAGAUCAGAAAGGUUCCCUCAAUGCCACAUGGCGAAGACAUUUACCAGGUUCCUCACAAAGCAGCAGCCAAAGCAAAACAGGUGCAGAUAUGAACGUAAAGCAAGGCGAAUCUACGAAAGCAUACUAUAAACAUGUCAUUUUUAAUUAAUUUAAAUAUGGAUUUAAAACACAC